rnacentral:rRNA from 1 species
UACGUAGGGUGCGAGCGUUGUCCGGAAUUAUUGGGCGUAAAGGGCUCGUAGGCGGUCUGUCGCGUCGAAAGUGAAAACCCAGGGCUUAACCCCUGGGCCUGCUUCCGAUACGGGCAGACUAGAGGUAUGCAGGGGAGAACGGAAUUCCUGGUGUAGCGGUGAAAUGCGCAGAUAUCAGGAGGAACACCGGUGGCGAAGGCGGUUCUCUGGGCAGUAACUGACGCUGAGGAGCGAAAGCGUGGGGAGCGAACAGG